rnacentral:rRNA from 1 species
GAUGAACGCUGGCGGCGUGCCUAAUACAUGCAAGUCGAGCGAACGGACGAGAAGCUUGCUUCUCUGAUGUUAGCGGCGGGCGGGCGAGUAACACGUGGAUAACCUACCUAUAAGACUGGGAUAACUUCGGGAAACCGUAGCUAAUACCGGAUAAUAUUUUGAACCGCAUGGUUCAAAAGUGAAAGACGGUCUUGCUGUCACUUAUAGAUGGAUCCGCGCUGCAUUAGCUAGUUGGUAAGGUAACGGCUUACCAAGGCAACGAUGCAUAGCCGACCUGAGAGGGUGAUCGGCCACACUGGAACUGAGACACGGUCCAGACUCCUACGGGAGGCAGCAGUAGGGAAUCUUCCGCAAUGGGCGAAAGCCUGACGGAGCAACGCCGCGUGAGUGAUGAAGGUCUUCGGAUCGUAAAACUCUGUUAUUAGGGAAGAACAUAUGUGUAAGUAACUGUGCACAUCUUGACGGUACCUAAUCAGAAAGCCACGGCUAACUACGUG